rnacentral:rRNA from 1 species
AGCGAACGCUGGCGGCAGGCCUAACACAUGCAAGUCGAGCGGCCGUAGCAAUACGGCAGCGGCAGACGGGAUAGUAACACGUGGGAACGCGCCCUUCGGUUCGGAAUAACUCAGGGAAACUUGAGCUAAUACCGGAUACGCCUUACGGGGAAGAUUAUUGCCGAAGGAACGGCCCGCGUCGGAUUAGCUAGUUGGUGAGGUAAUGGCUCACCAAGGCGACGAUCCGUAGCUGGUCUGAGAGGAUGAUCAGCCACAUUGGGACUGAGACACAGCCCAAACU